GACGAACGCUGGCGGCGUGCCUAACACAUGUAAGUCGCACGGGACUGGAGGGCAACUUCCAGUUCAGUGGCAGACGGGUGCGUAACACGUGAGGAACUUGUCCAACGGCGGGGGAUAGCCGGCCCAACGGCCGGGUAAUACCGCAUACGAUCAUUUGGGGGCAUCCCUGAAUGAAGAAAGCAGCCGCAAGGUUGCGCCGAUGGAGAGUCUCGCGGCCUAUCAGCUAGUUGGCGGGGUAAUGGCCACCAAGGCGACGACGGGUAGCUGGUCUGAGAGGAUGGCCAGCCACAUUGGGGACUGAGACACGGCCCAGACUCCUACGGGAGGCAGCAGUGGGGAAUCUUGCGCAAUGGCCGCAAGGCUGACGCAGCGACGCCGCGUGUGGGAUGACGGCC
rnacentral:rRNA from 1 species